CAUGGAGGGUGAGAAUCCCGUUCGGUUGACCAGACUUCUUUAUGAUACGCUUUCAAAGAGUCAAGUUGUUUGGGAUUGCAGCUUAAAAUGGGAGGUAAAUUUCUCCUAAGGCUAAAUACCGGCGAGAGACCGAUAGCGAACAAGUACCGUGAGGGAAAGAUGAAAAGAACUUUGAAAAGAGAGUAAAAUAGUACGUGAAAUUGUUGAAAGGGAAACGAUUGAAGUCAGUCGUACUGGCGAAAAAUCAACUACUCGAGUGAGUACUUGUGGGCGUACGUGAGCUUCACGGCCGCGUUGUUUGCAAUGUUCGUGCUCUUGUGGUGUACUUUUUCGUAUGGUAGGCCAAUGUCAGUUUCGAUCGCUAUAAAAUGACCGGCGGAAUGUAGCUUCGAUCUCGUAUUGAAGUGUUAUAGCCUCUGGUAGAUGUGGUGAUUGGGACUGAGGAUUGCAACGAAUACCUUUUGGGCUAUCCGUCUGAUCUCUGAAGGUUGCUUAGGUGCCGAAAGCGUGCUUACGGUUAUUUAAGUUGACAGUCAAAAGGUUAGAACGUGAUUAUAUUCGUUAAGGAUGUUGACGUAAUGG
rnacentral:rRNA from 1 species